AUUGAACGCUGGCGGCAGGCCUAACACAUGCAAGUCGAGCGAGCGGCGGACGGGUGAGUAAUGUCUGGGAACCUGCCUGAUGGAGGGGGAUCACUACUGGAAACGGUAGCUAAUCCCGCAUACCAUCAGAUGUGCCCAGAUGGGAUUAGCUAGUAGGUGGGGUAACGGCUCACCUAGGCGACGAUCCCUAGCUGGUCUUAGAGGAUGACCAGUCACACUGGAACUGAGACACGGUCCAGACUCCUAAGGGAGGCAGCAGUGGGGAAUAUUGCACAAUGGGCGCAAGCCUGAUGCAGCCAUGCCGCGUGGGUGAAGAAGGCCUUCGGGUUGUAAAGCACUUUCAGCGGGGAGGCGUUACCCGCAGAAGAAGCACCGGCUAACUCCGUGCCAGCAGCCGCGGUAAUAC
rnacentral:rRNA from 1 species